rnacentral:rRNA from 1 species
UACGGAGGGAGCUAGCGUUGUUCGGAAAUACUGGGCGUAAAGCGCACGUAGGCGGAUCUUUAAGUCAGGGGUGAAAUCCCAAGGCUCAACCUUGGAACUGCCCUUGAUACUGGGGAUCUCGAGUCCGGAAGAGGUUGGUGGAACUCCGAGUGUAGAGGUGAAAUUCGUAGAUAUUCGGAAGAACACCAGUGGCGAAGGCGGCCAACUGGUCCGGCACUGACGCUGAGGUGCGAAAGCGUGGGGAGCAAACAGG